rnacentral:lncRNA from 1 species
GGUACAAUACUCCUACCCGUACCCAUAUCAGUACCGAAUAAUAACAAAACUGGACACCGAAUACCGUACCGAAUAUUAUGGUAUGGUACAAGUAACGGGUAUUGUCAUUGAUACUUCAACACAGUACCUGAUUUGAUACCAUUUUGUUUUUUUUAAUCUUUUAAGCACUCAUACACUAAAUAGGUAAAUAGGUAAAUUUGGUACGGGUACCAAACUACCAAUAAAGUACGGGUGCAAAUAAGUAUAACGUUUUAGCAGCCCUUUCGCUUUGAUACCGGUUGCGGUUCGGUCAACAAAAGUCAAACCCAGUUCUUGUGAAACGGGUUUGGGUUUGGGUUUGGAACCGGUUUAUGAAGUGACUAUAUAAGUAAAAACCGCGAAACAAACGACUCCUUAGUUUUUUUGCAGUGACUAUAAAUUACAUGAAUUGAAAAACUUAAAAAAAAACCAGCAACUUAAACCAUAAAUACAACAAGAUGAUAAGGAGUAACAACAAGUUAACAAUCACAAAGCUAUCAACUCUGCUAGAAUCUGCAACCCGUUUCGGCCUUCAUGAAAUGCUACAUGCUAAUUGGCCCGAUUAACCUUCAGAUAAGGCAAGGCGCCAAUGACAUUGUUAUAGUCACUGCGAUCAACUUGUACCUGUCGUGAAAUAAUCGAGUUAUAGAUUUUUCUGUCGAAAUUCGAAAAUUAACUAAUGCAAAACAUCGGCCAAAGCCGUCUAGUUUACUAUAUUAACAUAAUUUAGUUUUAUGUUAAAAUAAACAACAUAUGACACGUGUUUAGACUAUGUGUUACGGGGCAUUGCAAAUGACACGUGUUUUAUUUUCAUUGGCCCAAAAUUUAAUUUCACACGCAUAUCCACAUAUUCCAGACCAUAGUUGUUAAUGGUGAAUAGCGACAAAUAGCGAUAAGGUCCUAUAUGCUACAUAGUGAAUAGCGAUAAAUAACGGGCGCCUAUUUUAUAAAUAGCGAUGCACUAGAAAAAAAUUAUAUGUAGAUUAUAUCAAAUUACCCUGGUAUAUAUGCUAUUUUACAUGUAUAUUCAACAAAAACCUAAAAUCCAGCUGUUUUAUAGCUAUAUUUUAUUGCUAUAUAUUAAAAAAAAAAACAAAACAAUAAAUAAAUAAAUUGUCGCUAAUAUCGCUAUCUGUCGCUACAACCCUAAUAGCGAGCCUAGACCUAUACGCUACGUAGUGCGCUAUAACGAUCGCUAUUGACAACUAUGUUCCAGACUCACGACCGUUGCCACACUCACACCUUAGCCCUUAACGCCCCCUAUGGGCUGACAUGGCAAUGGGCGCGAGCCCACUACACGCAGUCUUAGCAAUGGGAGCUUGAAAGUGUGCCUAAAAUGCAAGAAACACAUGAUAGAAUCAAACACUAACCGUUUUCGAGAGACGGUUUCUCCUCUUAGCAUUCUUCUUUCUAAGCAAAUGCUGCUUCCCAGCUCUCCUCCUCACAAUCUUCCCUGUUCCUGUCACCCUAAACCUCUUUGCUGAAGCCUUACAAAAAUGCAAAAUUCAACAUCAAUUUGACUAAAGACUUGAACUUUAUUUCAAGAAACUAUAAACCCACAAACCUCAACAAAUUUUCAAAAGAGUUAAAUGUCAUUUUCGUCCGUGGUUUGUUCAGUUACGUCAGUCCAGGCCAAAUUUCAAAUUUGUACCAUUUUCGUCCCUGACAUUCUUGAAACAUGCCAAUUCCGUCGAAAAAACUAAGGUUGAAUCGAAUAAUUGGACAAACCACAGGGACGAAAAUAAAAGUUAACUCAUGUUUUUUUGGACGGAACUCGCAUGUUUUAAAAACGUCAGGGACGAAGAUGGUACAGAUUUGAAAUUUGACCUGAACUGUCAUAAUUGGACAAACCACAUGAACACGGAAAUAGCAAAUAGCAGUUAACUCUUAACAAAAAUUCUAACCACCAAAGACAUUCCACAUAAAAUUAAAUAAACUUUGAUUCAAGAACUUAUGCAAAAACCUAAAAAUUAGAAUGAAAAAAAAAAAAAAAAAAAAACCAAAGUAGGAUUAUUUCAACAUCAAUUUGAUUAAAGACUUGCCCUUUAUUCCAAGAAACUAAUAACCCACAUACCCAAAUCCAUAAAAAAAAAAAAAAAAAAAAAAAAAAAAAAAAAAAAAACAAAAGAACCACACACACCUAACAAAUUUACAAGAACCCUAACCACCAAAUGACAUUUCACAUAAAACUAUAUAAAAUUUGAUGCAAGAAGUUAAACAGAAAAAAAAAAAUCAAUUUGAUUAAAGACUUGCACUUUAUUUCAAGAAACUAAAACCCCACAAAUUUACAUAAAUUCAAACCACCAAAUAGCAUAAAACAAGAACAAAAUUAGCCACAUAAACCAAAAUCACCUUAUGGGUUUUCAUCUUAUACCCUUUUGCAGCUACAAUUGUGAGGGAUUGGGGCUUUCCAUUAGGGGAAGACACAAUCGGGGCUCUGUUUGGAACAAGUGGGGAGAAAACAGAGAUACUGUGUGAUGAUGAGAGGUUUAAUGGUGUUGAUUUCUUCAAGUGUGCGAGACAAACGGUGGUGUGAGAAGAUGGGGUUGUGUGAAGGGGUUUGAUUGGAGCUAUGAGUGAUGUGCAGGUGAAAAAGGUUGAAGACGCCAUUGUUGUUGUGUUGAUGGAGCUGUGUGGGAUUUUGUUUGUAUUUUUACCAAACUAG